rnacentral:rRNA from 1 species
CAAACGACUCUCGGCAACGGAUAUCUCGGAUCUCGCAUCGAUGAAGAACGUAGCGAUAUGCGAUACUUGGUGUGAAUUGCAGAAUCCCGUGAACCAUUGAGUCUUUGAACACAAGUUGCGCCCGAAGCCAUUAGGCCAAGGGCACAUCUGCCUGGGCGUCACGC